GAAGUGCGAACCAAGCAGCGGCGCAAGCCGCGUAAGACUUGGAGCGGGUGGCCGUAAGACCACCCUGCA
rnacentral:sRNA from 12 species